GAUGAACGCUGGCGGCGUGCCUAAUACAUGCAAGUCGAGCGAACAGACGAGGAGCUUGCUCCUCUGACGUUAGCGGCGGACGGGUGAGUAACACGUGGAUAACCUACCUAUAAGACUGGGAUAACUUCGGGAAACCGGAGCUAAUACCGGAUAAUAUAUUGAACCGCAUGGUUCAAUAGUGAAAGACGGUUUUGCUGUCACUUAUAGAUGGAUCCGCGCCGCAUUAGCUAGUUGGUAAGGUAACGGCUUACCAAGGCAACGAUGCGUAGCCGACCUGAGAGGGUGAUCGGCCACACUGGAACCGAGACACGGUCCAGACUCCGACGGGAGGCAGGCGGAGGGAAACUUCCGCAAUGGGCGAAAGCCUGACGGAGCAACGCCGCGUGAGUGAUGAAGGUCUUCGGAUCGUAAAACUCUGUUAUUAGGGAAGAACAAAUGUGUAAGUAACUAUGCACGUCUUGACGGUACCUAAUCAGAAAGCCACGGCUAACUACGUG
rnacentral:rRNA from 1 species